AAGACCAAUGACUGUGAAUAAGAAAAUAGAGAUAAGCUGUAUGUAAAGAAGUAAAACUGAACAUGAUUAGACAAUAUUCUGAGAAAAUCUAUAAGAUAGAAAAGCCAAUCUGCAGCGAGGAAUGACCCAUUUGCAAAACCUUGAUUGCCUUGGCUACUCAAAGUGAGACCAAGAUUUAGCAGGGUCCCUCCAAAUACCGUAUAUAUUGUAGCCAUUUGUAAAGCUGUUGCUUUCCGAUUAGCAAAUCAAGUUACAGUUUCAAAUGAGAAAUAUAAGUUGCAGAGUGACUACUAUAUGAAUUCACUUAAAUGUAGACAUAUUUGUUGGGGAUUCAGAUCUGAAAGGCGUCUAUUUAUCUAUUUAUACUAUAUUAGUCCUGAUUCCUGAGACACAAGUUGUAGCGAUGCCAACUCAUUCAGGGCUUUCAUGGCAGGGGUGAGUUUCGCCCAUACGAGCAGAGGUGGAAGGGAGAUGGCUAUUUCAUGGUUCUUUUGCUUAACUUCCGUUUCAUCAAUCAGCGAUGCCUGCAAUUAUGAAUGUUGUUCGGGCUGUUUCCCUCUCGAUGAAGCUUAUCCCUCAUCGUCUGCAGGAUCAACAACAAUAGCUGCACGGAGUACGGUAGAAUUCCUUGGUACGGUCAUUCGGGAAGUCCCUCCGAGGACGACUCCUGUUAGGAAACAAUUUGCCCAACAAUGAAACAGCUCAGAAAUUAAGACAAAUUUUACCUACUAUAGAGGUAUCUGGCAUGCUUUACAAACAAUUAGCAAGAAAGAAUGCAUACAAGGCUUUUAAAAGGGACUUGGAACUACACUCUUGGGAUGUUGUGAAUCUAACAUUACCUUAAAUUUAUAUUUCUUUCAUGUGUAAUUGUCUGCAUCUCUGGUGCUAAUGCCGACUGUAGGGCCUAAUAUAGAAAUCAGCUUCUCAUAGCUAUUUUAUUAUUGUUGAUUAUAUGUGUGCAUAUGAUCUAAUGAUUAAACUGUUGUUGUUAGUCUGGCCUGUGGCAGUUUUCAGGCAUUGCUUCAUCUAACAUGUCUCUGAUCAAAAGGAAAAAUAAUGACUUGCACCUUUGCUUUUCCUUCCUAUAGAUAUUCUUGAUUAGUUGAGCUUUUGAUUUUCUUUGGCUGAUAAGUAUUCUUGAUAGUUUCUUUUUUUGAUGUUUCUUGCAAUUGAGGUUUUUGAAUAUCUCUUAUUAAGAUUGAGUCUGUUCUUAGUCUUAUCUCAUAGAAAUAGAGAUAAGAUUUGUUUCUCUAUUGUAGAUGUAUAGAGUUUGAUCCUCAUUUGCAACGUAUCGUUCCUUAAUUUUCCUCCAGAAGUAUGCUAAGGAUGGAGAUCUUUCUUUCUCCAUGAUUUAAUUGGUGGUCACCCCACCCCACCCAAUGGUUUUCUUCUUCGUUCGUGUAUGUACAUCAUAAAAGUAAAGAUGGAUGUUCUUUGAGUUCAUUUGACACUUUUUGAAUAUUUUCCAUGUCAAACCAGAAAAGUUAAUGAAGGUCAUGACCCUGAGCUUUAGCUCAUGGUCUACAGUUCAAAGUACAGGACAAAGCAAAAGUAGGAGGAGUGCUCUAAAAGUGAUGCCACCUUCAAAGGCAACCACCAUGACGUUAGGAAUGAAGUAAGGAAUGAAGGCGUGAGACCUCAACCGAAAUCUAUGAAUGUCACAAUAUAACAGAACUCUAUGAAUGUCACAUGUGUUUCAGAGCCUCUACCCUCCAAGUCAGAUAUGGUAAUACUAGGGAAGAGGAAGGUUGUUGUGGACUUGUGUACACACACACACAUAUAUAGGGAGGGAGCGUAUCAAGUGAGAGGAGUGGUUUAUUGUGAGAGAUGAGAGGAUUUAAUCAUAACCAUUGAAUUAACAUUAGCGGCUCGGAUUUAAUUUUAAUCAGAAUAGUCACGCUUCAUUAUCUCCUGCUCCUCAUUUCGUAUCCCCAUUCGCGUUCUUUUCAGUCAUCGUUUUCGUUUCUGAUUUCCCUGAGUCCACCAUGCUAAACACUCAUGCUGCAGAACCAAAGGAGCCAUAUAUAACCACAUUGUCGCAUAUUGAAGAAAUAAAGGUGAAAGGGGAAAAGAGUCUGAGAUGGCCAUAACCUAGAAGCAAUAAUCAAGAUCUUUAAUUAAAAUUUACAAUAAUUGAAAUUGUAACUCAAAUCACGAUGAAGCCUUCACGGCGAGCCUGCAGGAGUUUCUUUUGGUGCUUGACAACCUGCUCGAUGUAGUCGAAGCGGCGAGCCGGGAAACGGUGUCGUCGAAGGCGAAGCGAUUCUCAAUGAGGAGGCGGUUGGUGGCAUUGGCUUUGAAGAGGAGGAAGAGCUUGUGUGGAUCCCGCUCUGCUUUGAGCUUAUCGAGAGCAGGUGGUUCUAAGGGCUUUUUGGCGGUGGUGGUUACGGCGGUUGUGGCGGCGGAGGAGAAGUUGUAGAGCCUGCGAGUGGAUCUCAGGGAGAGCAUGAUCAAGGAGAGAGCGAGAGUGGAUGAAGAUCGUGCUCCUCGAGAUUAACGGUGGAGGAGAAGGCGAUGGUUGUGGCGGAAGAGGACAUGGGGUUUAGGGGAAGCGCCACCAUUGGAUGAGAGCUGCUGGUGGAAGCUGUGUUUUGUUCCUAGAUUGGGUGUGAGUGAGUUCAAGGGAACUCUUUAAAUUAAAAUUAAAUCUGGACCGUUAAUCUUCAUCCAAUCGUUAUUAAUUAAUGCUUUCAUCUCUCACAAUAAACCACUCCUCUCACUUGAUACGCUCCCUAUAUAUAUAUAUGGCUUUGUUAGCUUUUAACCUUCUGAUGAAUUUUUAAUAUUGCUGCAUGUUAU